rnacentral:rRNA from 1 species
AUGUCUCACGUCGCAGACUUUUCUUUGCAGGCCAACGAAACCCCGUGCACCAUAUUGUACACCAUCGGUGAACAGAAGGUGGACGUGGGGAAGGGGACGAUAAUGGAGCCGAAGGAACCAUUGUUCCACAGCCGGUCGAUCCCCCCGAACGUCUUCAAGGUUUCCGUGGCCAGUGUCAAACCGGGCCACGAGAAUUUGCCUCCUCUAAUACUAGUGGGGGAUGAUGACGAGACCCCGUGGCAGCUUGGUGAUUGUUGCAAUGGGUGGGUCUUGUUGUGGCCAAAGAGUCUGCUUCGUCUGGAGGCGGCCGGGAGCACACCCACGAGCACGCAGCCUCAGCAAGGUAUGAACAUCAACACCCCACCUACCCAAUUAGCGUCGGGUGUCGGGUUGGGUGAUAGCGGACGGGGUAAGCAGGUGGCUCCGUUAGUCGCUGAUGACGUCGCCAUGGAUGAGGAUGACGAUGACGAUGGUGCUGAACAGUAUGUCUAUACUGGCGCCUCCUCAGGGUUUGAGCGUCAUGAGUCGGUGCUUGAAUUAUCAUCUCAACGUAUUAUUGACGACCAUCCGGUGGUAAAGAAGUCUAGGAAGAGAGCGAGGAAAGGCAAAAAAGCUAAUUCUAUGAUCCAGCCGCCUUAG